GCCGGCCUGGGUGAAGGUGACCGUUCCGUGGGCCGGGGCGGUGACCGCGGCCAGGGUCAGCGUGUCACCGUUCGGGUCGGUGUCGUUGGUG
rnacentral:tRNA from 1 species